rnacentral:rRNA from 1 species
UACGAAGGGGGCUAGCGUUGUUCGGAAUUACUGGGCGUAAAGCGCACGUAGGCGGAUAUUUAAGUCAGGGGUGAAAUCCCGGAGCUCAACUGCGGAACUGCCUUUGAUACUGGGUAUCUUGAGUAUGGAAGAGGUAAGUGGAAUUCCGAGUGUAGAGGUGAAAUUCGUAGAUAUUCGGAGGAACACCAGUGGCGAAGGCGGCUCACUGGUCCAGUACUGACGCUCAUGUGCGAAAGCGUGGGGAGCAAACAGG